UACGUAGGGUGCGAGCGUUGUCCGGAAUUACUGGGCGUAAAGAGCUCGUAGGUGGUUUGUCGCGUUGUUCGUGAAAACUCACAGCUUAACUGUGGGCGUGCGGGCGAUACGGGCAGACUGGAGUACUGCAGGGGAGACUGGAAUUCCUGGUGUAGCGGUGGAAUGCGCAGAUAUCAGGAGGAACACCGAUGGCGAAGGCGGGUCUCUGGGCAGUAACUGACGCUGAGGAGCGAAAGCCAGGGUAGCGAAAGGG
rnacentral:rRNA from 1 species